rnacentral:rRNA from 1 species
CAGUCGCCGCGGGAAUACGUAGGUCCCGAGCGUUGUCCGGAUUUAUUGGGCGUAAAGCGAGCGCAGGCGGUUAGAUAAGUCUGAAGUUAAAGGCUGUGGCUUAACCAUAGUACGCUUUGGAAACUGUUUAACUUGAGUGCAAGAGGGGAGAGUGGAAUUCCAUGUGUAGCGGUGAAAUGCGUAGAUAUAUGGAGGAACACCGGUGGCGAAGGCGACUCUCUGGUCUGUAACUGACGCUGAGGAGCGAAAGCGUGGGGAGCGAACAGGAUUAGAUACCCCAGUUCCCUGUCUCUUAUACACA